rnacentral:rRNA from 1 species
CCUACGGGACGCAGCAGUGGGGAAUAUUGCACAAUGGGGGAAACCCUGAUGCAGCGACGCCGCGUGAGCGAUGAAGUAUUUCGGUAUGUAAAGCUCUAUCAGCAGGGAAGAAAAUGACGGUACCUGACUAAGAAGCCCCGGCUAACUACGUGCCAGCAGCCGCGGUAAUACGUAGGGGGCAAGCGUUAUCCGGAUUUACUGGGUGUAAAGGGAGCGUAGACGGCUGUGCAAGCCAGAUGUGAAAGCCCGGGGCCCAACCCCGGGACUGCUCUUGGAACUGCGUGGCUGGAGUGCAGGAGGGGCAG